rnacentral:tRNA from 1 species
CGGUUAAGACACCGCCCUUUCACGGCGGUAACACGGGUUCGAAUCCCGUACGGGUCA